UUCGUUCCGCUCGCCGUCGUCAAAGACUCCGAAGCGUGCUCCUUGAUUUUCCUUAAGUGUGCGCUUAAUCGCUGGCCAUCUGUUCACGUUUUAAUCUUUUGGCGACCGUAAUGGCAAUAUCUUUUUUUUUUUUUACGUCCGCUUAAUCUCUCAAGACAUUUCAUAUUAUCUUUACGUGUGUUAUUUUAUAUUAUGAAAUCGCUUCUGAUUUAGCAGAAGGCUCGAGUGUGUAAUCGUUAGAUUAUCCAAAUGAAUAUAUGCGAUUCGUUUGUGACACGUAGUAUAGUUGCAACAUUCAAAGGACAAUUUCUAUGCACUGUAUGCGCAUCGUUGACUCUUCGAAACAUCUCAUAUCCUCUUCCGCCGCCCGAUCAUGUAGUCCGCUCGCCGGAAAUCGUUGUUACUCGCCUAAGUGUCUUUUCGAAUUCCCGUCGUCGCCGGAAGCUCGGCAGAUUCCCGGCCGAGAUCGUAAAAAAUCGGAGUUUAAUGCGAUGACUCCGCCGCGGUGGAAAGUAGUCCAGACUAUUUCGGUCAGGAAUGACGCUUUUGUGGCGACUGUGUCCUCGAUCGGUCGUCGUGGUUUCGACUUUUCGGGCGAGCCCUCAUUGUCGAGCGAUGAAUAAACGCGUCCCCUGAAUCAUGCGCCAUUUUUUUCGAUUGAAGAGAGGGAGAGAAGCGAGGAGAAGUGUUGAAAAAUUUUUGCGAUGUCGGUCGCGCAUAAUGCGCAGGCCGUUGAGGCCCCGAAAAACAAUGGCAUUUGCAUCAUAAAUAAACGCGACGCCUGACCUGAAUCUCGGUCGCCUUCCGGCGCGACCGGCGCGGAUUCUCUUAACAAGCGAACGAUAUUCUGUAAAUUAGUGCACUGGGGCUGUCUGAACGAAGCGAAGUCGAAUCGAGUGGAGAGACGAGAGAGGAGAGAGGAGGAGGAGGAGACCGAGUCGAGUCGUUCGCAUUCAUAUGCGACGCGUCACAACGAAUUGCUGUCUUUUGGCGAUCCUGCCUGCGGCUCUGCUUCACGGCUCGGCCUUCAAACGACCUGGCUCUCCUUUAUUUGAACGCGUUCAGGACGACGAAUGUGGAAUUUUGUCGAUACCCGAGAAACCAAAGCGUGAAACAGGGACACACGAGUUAUUUACAUUAUGGCGCAAUUACAGCCGCCGGUACUCUCGUUACUUUAAAAGAAGCGAAAGCUUUCUACGGUUAACAUUUGCAUUUAUUCCACUUGUCACAUAUUGACUCUAGAUUCGUCUCACUUCAAAUUUAUUUCGUUCGUCGACAUGAACCGGCGAAAGAACUUUUUAUUCCUACGAUUGCAGGGAAUACACUGAACGAUACCAUCGCGCGAUAAUCGAUCCGCUCCUGAUACGUGUUCGAGGUAACAUCAUAUUUUCAGUCUUUCGUAAGUUCGCAGAACACGGGCACACAUGGUAUCCUCGCGAUACCAAAAAUGGAAGAAAGCCGUUGGGAAAGAUCCGGAGCAAAAGAAGCCACGGUCGUUGUCGCGCGCGAAGAGAACAGGAGAGAGCAGAAAGAUCGUCCUCUUCUCGAUGUUACGCCGAGAAUUCGAGGCAGUCGUUAGUAUGCUAAUGAAUGUCCCUCGUUUCUUCCGUGACCGCAGUGCGCAACCGCUGAAUUAUUUCAAAUAUUUCCAAACGUUCAUCGCGUGAGGAGACUAGAUCGACUUCAAGUUAGAAAUUAGAAAUCGUACACUCAGAAAAAUAUAGUGGUGGUAACUAUAAAAGUCACAACUACACACAUUAAUUCUAUAUGUAAAAUAUCAGGUUGGUCAGAAAGUCUUUUCAUAUUUAAAUUCGUAAAUACGAAAAAACUUUUUGACCUGAUAGUUUAGUAUAAAAUUGUAUAGACGUCAUAUUUAUAGUUACCACAUCACUACGUCUUUCUCUCUGAGUGUAUAGAGUUUAGUAUGUGACGCUUGGCGCAUUGUUAAUGCGCAUACGUAUAAUUCUUGCCGCUACAUUUUCGUGCACUCUUCCUUCUCAUCCUUCUUCUGUCCUUUCCGUAUCAGGACCGCGAUGGCGCCGUUAUAUUUCUUACGAUAACAUCGAAACUUUGUGAGAGCGUCCACAUGGCGUCCCUUCCCGCUGGUAUAUAGUCGUACAACCGAAAUGACAUACGCGAUAUGAUGUCGUUAUUAAUUUCCUGGGCGGUAUUGCAUUUCGUACGAUCAUAUCGGGCCAUCGCGCGAUCAUCAAUUAAACACGCGAGGCACGGGACAUUAAUUAAUUUCACUUACACGUGAGUGAUAAUAACUAUAUCGCGGUUCGAUGACCAGUGGCUGUAACUGCGUAACGGAAAUAAGGCACUGCAUACGAGAGCUGGUUUCAUCGUCGGAAGGUUCAUGAUUAAUUCUGUGCAAUAUAUAUCUUUCUUAUAUGAUACAAAUCGAGGUUAAUUUCGAUACCGUUAGUUAAAAUUUACCGCAAGAAAACGACCCGCGAUAGAUUUUUUGACAAAUUCGAUUAAGAUACCGCGACCGCCCCUUUUACUUCAGACCCUAACGUGCGGCGAAACAUCCUUCUUCCUAGCAGCGUCUCUCGGUUCAUUUUAGUUCGGAGAGGAGAGUCUAAUUGACCUAAAAGGCGUUAUCUGCUACUCCGUCUCCGGGAAACCGUACGCGCGAGCCGUAAGGGUUACCAUUACCCGUUGUUGCCUUAAUGAGGUCCAAUUACUAUCGGAUGGGUCACUUAGUAUGCGGUACUGAUACUCUACGGUGUAUAGCACACAUUAGUGGGACGAAAGGACGAGAGCCAAGGGUCAACACUCCUCGGAGACCUAAGCGCGACCUAACGAGAUUCGAUCGUCGUCGUCUUCGUCGUAGUUUAUUGGUACAAUAUACGUACUUGCGAGCCGCAAGCGUAUACGCGUUCUGGCGCACGUUGCGCAGCCCGGAAUCCACCUGUUGAAUAUUACUCCCUACUGCGUCGACCCUCGCGUCCGACACGCGGAAGCAAACCGCGCCACAUUGAGGCAAGAUCCCUCCUUUCGUAACUUUCCACUCCUGCGGAUCCCAUAUAUUUGUCCCAGAGAAACAGACACGUCUGUUCCUUCGAGACGAUUUUCCGGAGACUUCGUUUUGCAACGUCGUCGUAAAAUCUUGAAAUUACAAAUUGUACGCCGUUUCAGAGCGUCAGAACUGGCUAAAGCGCGAAGAAGAAAUCAAAUCAUUUUAUGCGAUUAUUGCGAUGGAAGUAAGCGCAAUAGCGACGCAUUUUUCGAGAUAUGUUAUCAACCCAUAUACGUUAUUAUUUCCAGAACACUCAUCGCCGAUUCACCGCAACGUAAAGCUUCGUCGAACGGGGACGAUCCAAGAUAAUCGAUUGGUCGCGCUCGAGUCUCUCGUCCACUUACGGAUUCGAACCGGGCAGAAGAUUUUUUUUCUCAGUUACUUCUCGCACGCUCGCCUUUUCCACAUAUCGGACUUUCUCGCCUCUUUUCGUUGACCGUGAUUACCACGAGGUAUCCCCAACCAUCGCAAUCUUUUCGUUUUCGCAUUCGUCACGGCUUAUUAAGUUGCCUCUUCUUUAAACUAGAGUGCGAAACGUGUGCACGCAUCGCAUACGUCAACUUCUAUCAACUCAUCGCCGGCGUAUCGACUUUUACGACUUCACGAAGUCCUCGCAGCGGGUUAAAAUACCGCGUAGAAACUACUUCCGUCCGCUUUUUGCUGACGAUUGUCUUUCCGAAGACGAAUCGGUAAUAAAUCACUGUCUCACUUUGUUAUAUUUCUUCGCAAAAUCGCGCGUUUUAGAAAUCUAUAUUUCUUUCUUCCUGAAUUUUAUGUUAUAAUAUAUUACUUUUUCGUUAAUGAUAGAAAUUAAAUACUGUACUGAGAAAAAUGAAAAGAUAAUGCGUUAAUUAGUUUGCUUCAAUCUUUAGUAAUUUAUAACUAAAACAUUUAAAUCUCGUAGAAGACACGCGCGAUAAUAGUUUUUAGGCUACAGAAUUAUUCCUCGUCUCGUUUUGAUAAAGCUAUUAUUAUCAUAAGAAAAUGACUAGAAGUGUAUUGUUUCGCGAGGCUUAAAUAACUUAAUGUUUUUAGAGAAUUCAGAGAGUAAUUGUUUAGAAACUAGAAAAAAGACAUAUUUCCCAGAAGCCUCUUAUAUAAAAAUAUUGUAUUUUUCUUUAUUUUUUCAUUCAUUCACUUUAAUUUUUCAUCGAUUUUCUCUCAACCAUGCAUUGCGAAGUUCAAGUCAUAAUUUCGCGAAACGCGACGGAACUGCCACGCUCGACUUCGUAAUUACGCUUGUGUUAUUCUUUAAAGUGUGUAGAAUUUGCAUCACAAAUGUUACAUAACAUGCGACUCGACAAUGAACGGAGCGUAUGACGAGACGUCGUCGUGUGAAUUCUCGGCGUCGCAUUACAAAGUCCACGCGUACGCGAAACAUAACCGGGAUUUAUCUGGCUAGUAAGUUAUUCUCUCGAAGGAAGAGAGAUACGUCAGAGUCAGUUACUUCGGCUCAUCCUUGGAAGAAUGAAGUGCGGCGUUACCGGAUGGUGGGGCGGCGAACCGGUUUUCUACGUUCGCUUCGAUUUUUAUUCCUCCCACGAUAUCUUACGGAUGUUCGAACAGGAUUUGGAGUACGAGAAAAGUCGAUUAGAUCUCUUCGCCCGUGGGCAUGAAAUGGAUAUCUGAAGAAUCAUUUAGGUUCCCUUCUUUCCUGAAUCUACGUUUCCCCACCCUCUCGUAACACUCCAAAUCGAAACCCGUUUUAACCCACUGGCGUGUCAUAAAUCAGCGCUAUCUCGGCAACGGUGCCAUCUGCCUCAACUCUGUGUCGGAGCGAGGAACCUAUUUUUCGAAUAAACUGGAAUAAAAUUAGACCAUUGAUGAUCCGAUAAGGAUGUUACGGUCGGCGUUCCUCGUCGCGCGAGUAUUUUUAUCAUCGCGGUAUAAAAAAUUCUCGAUUCUAAGUUGACAGAAACCGGAGGAACCAGCUCAAAAUUUAUGAAUCGUAACUUUAUAAAGUUGUAUUCCGUUGUAUAUGAUAUAUUUUAUAUAUAUGUGUAUAUAUUUAUGUGUGUGUGUGUGUGUGUGUGUGUGUGUGUGUUUUUGGCGUAGCUAUAAUAAACAACCGAGUUACAAUUUAAGUCGCAGUACGUCUCUUUCUUUUAGAUAAUGAGUGCAAAAUGCAGGUUUACGGUUCAAUGCGCAUAUAAAAAAAUUAAGGAGGGAGAGAUAAAGAGAUUUUAACCAAAAUAACCUUCGUGAAAAGUAUACGUUUCUGACACUUGGUUUGUAUCUCUCGCAAAUGACGCUAUAUUGUGACAAGCUGGGCACGCCGAAUGAUACGUUAAGAGUGCGCGCAAAAAAUUAACUGCGUUUGCCCGCCAUGAAUACUCGCGAGCCGUUUCGGGACGGGAGGACCACCUGCGGAUUCGUUGAUUUAAAAAUAUAACCGCGACCGGUAGUUGUUCGGGUUGGUGUACUCAGUCCGGGAGGUGAAGUUCCCCGAAAGGAUGCGCCCCCUUUUUUUUAUAUAUGUAGCACGAGAAGAAGAGCACUUUAACGAGAAUUCAGAGUGACGGUAAUUAGAGCUCCGAUACGACACGAUCUCGCGCGUGCUGCGUCUAGUCUUUGUAAUUGCGUCUCCGAAGAAAAUGGGCUGCCGCUCGCAUUUGCCGACGAGGACGAACGGAUAAAAUGAAAAGAGAACGAGCUAGAGAGAAAGAGGAGAGAGAGGAAGAGUCGGUCCGCAGGUUCGUUAAGGUUUCAAGUUUUUUCGCGACGCGGUUGCUUAACACCCGCUGACCCUCCUCCUCCACUCGCAGCGUGUUCGUUGAUGAAGCGAAAAACUCUUUCUCUCUCUCUCUCUCUCUCUCUCUCUCUCUCUCUCUCUCUCCUGUUUGGUCUGCUUUCUUGAGCGGUCGAAUUUUACGAUUCUCAUUCAUGACAAUUAAAACGGCCAAUUAAUCAGCUGGUGAUUUUAACGUCUGUGUGUCUGCGCCAAUUUCGAUGCCAAUAACAGUGCAUUCUUCAAGAAAGGAUUUCAGAAGAACACGCAUCUUGACCCGUGUUUCCCGCGGAUAUUAUAUUGGUUUAAAUUUUAAAAAAUUUAUAGAAUUGAAUUAAUAUAAAUAACGAUUGUUAUGUGGAAAAUAAA